CUUUAAUCUAACGAGAGAACUGCAGAAAAGAACUGCAUAUUUGAAUGGACUAUUAACACAAGAACAACACUUGAUAACUGGCUACUUCACCCUUGCUCUGAACUUCCUGUGCAGAGCUUACCGUGAUUGAUUUUACAGGGCAGCUCCGACGCCCUCCGGCGCCGCCUCCCCCCGGAAUUCCGGGUUGGCUGCUUCUCUCCCACGUGCCACUGGCAUCGGCACGCGGGUCAGGGUCUGCCAGGUUCUGUCACCCGCGCUACGGGAUCCGAGGACUCAGCAGCUGACUUUGCUCCUGUUAUCUCUAUGGGCAAUCCUGUUCUUUUCCACCUUUAUGGGAGAAAACAGCUUAUAUAAGUAGAGAUGAAGGGACCAAGACACAAACUGAAUUAAAGAGGGUAGUUGAACCUAGUGAGAAUUAUCCAAAUGUAUUUAAAAUACAAAUGUUAUUCUAUACA